rnacentral:snoRNA from 1 species
CCGCUUGGGGACGAGGAGUUUAACUCCUAAGUUCUCACUGGGCUUGGCCUAGACUACAACCCGCUGGUUACAUCUAUUGUGACUCGCGUCAAGCCCAUCACCUUCACCGAGCUGCAAGCACAGAUCUUGAGCUUCGAGU